rnacentral:rRNA from 1 species
GAUGAACGCUGGCGGCGUGCCUAAUACAUGCAAGUCGAGCGAACGGACGAGAAGCUUGCUUCUCUGAUGUUAGCGGCGGACGGGUGAGUAACACGUGGAUAACCUACCUAUAAGACUGGGAUAACUUCGGGAAACCGGAGCUAAUACCGGAUAAUAUUUUGAACCGCCUGGUUCAAAAGUGAAAGACGGUCUUGCUGUCACUUUUAGAUGGAUCCGCGCUGCAUUAGCUAGUUGGUAAGGUAACGGGUUACCAAGGCAACGAUGCAUAGCCGACCUGAGAGGGUGGGCGGCCACACUGGAACUGAGCCACGGUCCGGACCCCUACGGGAGGCAGCGGUAGGGAAGCUGCCGCAAUGGGCGGAAGCCUGACGGGGCAACGCCGCGUGAGUGAUGAAGGUCUUCGGAUCGUAAAACUCUGUUAUUAGGGAAGAACAUAUGUGUAAGUAACUGUGCACAUCUUGACGGUACCUAAUCAGAAAGCCACGGCUAACUACGUG